rnacentral:rRNA from 1 species
CUACGGGGGGCUGCAGUGAGGAAUUUUGCGCAAUGGGGGAAACCCUGACGCAGCAACGCCGCGUGAGUGAAGAAGGCUUUCGGGUCGUAAAGCUCUGUCAGAUAGGAAAAAAGUUCAUAUGUAAAUAGCUUAUGAAUCUGAUGGUACUAUCAGAGGAAGCACCGGCUAACUCCGUGCCAGCAGCCGCGGUAAUACGGAGGGUGCAAGCGUUGUUCGGAAUUACUGGGCGUAAAGGGCGUGUAGGCGGUAUGGUAAGUCAGAUGUGAAAGCCCUGGGCUUAACUCAGGAAGUGCAUUUGAUACUGCGCUCCUUGAGUAUGGGAGAGGAGAGUAGAAUUCCCAGUGUAGAGGUGAAAUUCGUAGAUAUUGGGAGGAAUACCCGUGGCCAAGGCGACUCUCUGGACCAAUACUGACGCUGAGACGCGAAAGCGUGGGGAGCAAGCAGGAUUAGAUACCCCCGUAGUC